UACGGGGGGAGCAAGCGUUGUUCGGAAUCACUGGGCGUAAAGGGAGUCUAGGCGGUUUGGUAAGUGGGAUGUGAAAUCCCCGGGCUCACCCCGGGACCUGCAUCCCAAACUGCUGAGCUUGAGUACAGGAGAGGGUGGGGGAAUUCCUGGUGUAGCGGUGAAAUGCGCAGAUAUCAGGAGGAACACCGGUGGCGAAGGCGGGUCUCUGGGCCGAUACUGACGCUGAGGAGCGAAAGCGUGGGGAGCGAACAGG
rnacentral:rRNA from 1 species